UACAGAGGGGGCAAGCGUUGUCCGGAAUUACUGGGCGUAAAGGGCGCGUAGGCGGCCUUCUAAGUCGAACGUGAAAUCCCUGGGCUCAACCCAGGAACUGCGUCCGAUACUGGAAGGCUUGAAUCCGGGAGAGGGAUGCGGAAUUCCAGGUGUAGCGGUGAAAUGCGUAGAUAUCUGGAGGAACACCGGUGGCGAAGGCGGCAUCCUGGACCGAUAUUGACGCUGAGGCGCGAAAGCCAGGGGAGCAAACGGG
rnacentral:rRNA from 1 species